CGAACCUUUCGGGGUUAGUGGCGGACGGGUGAGUAACACGUGGGAACGUGCCUUUAGGUUCGGAAUAACUCAGGGAAACUUGUGCUAAUACCGAAUGUGCCCUUCGGGGGAAAGAUUUAUCGCCUUUAGAGCGGCCCGCGUCUGAUUAGCUAGUUGGUUGAGGUAAUGGCUCACCAAGGCGACGAUCAGUAGCUGGUCUGAGAGGAUGAUCAGCCACAUUGGGACUGAGACACGGCCCAAACUCCUACGGGAGGCAGCAGUGGGGAAUCUUGCGCAAUGGGCGAAAGCCUGACGCAGCCAUGCCGCGUGAAUGAUGAAGGUCUUAGGAUUGUAAAAUUCUUUCACCGGGGACGAUAAUGACGGUACCCGGAGAAGAAGCCCCGGCUAACUUCGUGCCAGCAGCCGCGGUAAUACGAAGGGGGCUAGCGUUGCUCGGAAUUACUGGGCGUAAAGGGAGCGUAGGCGGACAUUUAAGUCAGGGGUGAAAUCCCGGGGCUCAACCUCGGAAUUGCCUUUGAUACUGGGUGUCUUGAGUAUGAGAGAGGUGUGUGGAACUCCGAGUGUAGAGGUGAAAUUCGUAGAUAUUCGGAAGAACACCAGUGGCGAAGGCGACACACUGGCUCAUUACUGACGCUGAGGCUCGAAAGCGUGGGGAGCAAACAGGAUUAGAUACCCUGGUAGUCCACGCCGUAAACGAUGAUUGCUAGUUGUCGGGAUGCAUGCAUUUCGGUGACGCAGCUAACGCAUUAAGCAAUCCGCCUGGGGAGUACGGUCGCAAGAUUAAAACUCAAAGGAAUUGACGGGGGCCCGCAC
rnacentral:rRNA from 1 species